GGGGAUGGAGGAGCAGCGGGAGGUUCCAGGAAGGCAUUCCCUGGAGGAACGAGAACCUGCCCCUGCCCGACUUGGCUCCAGGGAGGCCGGGGGCGAGGGAAGGGAGCACCUUCCCCGGGGUGGGGCGACCUGCCCCCUGGUGCCGGUGACCUCCGCAUGGCUGUGGCCGUCCCCCAUGAGUCUUCUGCAAGGAGCCCCGCAGAAGGCCCGGACUGAAAAUCAAUACCCUAAAGCUGAAAUCGAUAGCGGCAGCUCCUGGAGUUGCCCAGCCCUGGUCAAGGAGAGGAUCAAGGAGAGGCUGUCUCUGGCCAGGGUCUUACUCUUCUUGGACCAAGUGGUAUGUAUCUGGCUGGGGAGACAGUGGGGACCCUUGCUAGUCCACAGCAAAUGUACAUCACCAAGCACUGGAGGUCAUGGAUCCUUCCUGGACGGAAAAAGUGACCAGGAGCUGGAUCAAAAUGAAAGGAUUCAGCCAGAGCCACCAAGGAUGGCCGGGUCCUGAGGUCAGCAAUGGUGACAUAAAGUCUGCAGUUGUGAUUGGGAGGGUUUCAGCUCGGGAUGUGAAGGACAAAGCCUAGAGACCCAGUGGGCAAGGAUGGGUGUGCACAGA
ensembl:lncRNA